rnacentral:rRNA from 1 species
CCCUUAGAUGUUCUGGGCCGCACGCGCGCUACACUGAUGCAUUCAACGAGUUUCUUCCUGGUCCGAGAGGAAUGGGUAACCUUUUGAAAGUGCAUCGUGAUAGGGAUAGACUAUUGCAAUUAUUGGUCUUCAACGAGGAAUUCCUAGUAGACGUAGUUCAUCAGACUGCAUCGAUUACGUCCCUGCCCUUUGUACACACCGCCCGUCGCUCCUACCGAUUGAAUGCUCAGGUGAGCCAUUCGGAUUUUCAUCAUGCUGGUUUCCAGUUUUGAUGAAGGAAAGUCUUGCGAACCUUAUCAUCUAGAGGAAGGAGAAGUCGUAACA